rnacentral:lncRNA from 1 species
GAAAAGGGGCUGGGGUCUAAUGGGCUUAAGGCCCGAGGGAAGGGAAAGGGAAAGGCCGGAUGGGCCUGGUUUUGCCGAGAAGGAGAAGGCCGGAGAUUCGGCCGGAAAACCACCCAACUUUAAACGGCUAUAACUUUGUCACUACUCGACGAAAUUAAGCGAGACAAAAACGAAAGUUGUAGCCCUUGAAGAGACGAAGAGAAUGAUACCUCACACGACAUCUAACUCGCCGUGGUUUGGCCGGAAAACGCCUCGAAAGCCGUCGGACUCGCCGGAAACUGGGUAAGAUUCAAAUGAGUAUAACUUUUCCAAUACUCAACGAAAUUGAGUGAAACAAAAAGGAAAGUUGUACUACUCGACGAGACGAAGAGAUUGAUACCUUGCACGCCGGCCAAAUCGCUGUGGUUUGGCCGGAAAUGGCCUCGAAAGGGGCGGUGCUCGCCGGAGCUUACUCCGUGUCGUCGAACUCGCAGGGCAGGGUCUGGGGUUCGUUGCGAGCCUCUCUUCGAUGGUGACUCGGUCCUAGUGAGUCCAGGGGAAGAGAGAGAUGCGAGAGGUUGAGGGAGAGAGGUACGGGAUAGCUGAGAGGGAGAGAGUUAAGGGAGAGUUACGGGGGAGAGAGACGAAGAAAAAGGAAGAGAGAGAUGGGAGGCUGGGGACAGAAAUCAGGGGUGGGUCCCCCUUGGCUCACCAAUUAAGACUAACAAUAUUUUAAAAAAGAAUGGGGUGGGGUGUUUCAAUCUACCAUCCUUAUAAAAAAAUUUCGUCCUCGAAAUUUAAAAUAACAUACUACGCUGAAAAUACUCGAAAAUAGGAAGAAGAAAAAUAAUAUACAUAUAUGUAACGAAGAGAUCAGGUAAGAGCGGUUACACAAAAGGGAAAAUGCCACGCUGUCGUGAUCGGCUGCAAUGAUUCCAUCUUUCGUGCUCCCAGGCUCAUACUUUCUUUCCCCAUCAGUGUAAAAAUAGAAAACAUACUUUAAUAAAAUAUAAAGUCGAAAACACAAAAUAAUUUAAGGUCAGAUAACGCCAACAUAGAUAAGUAAUAACAUAUAGGCCAAAAACUCGAAUCAACUUAGAAAUGAAAACAGAAUUACUUUUCCAAAGACAUUUGUAACGCCAAAACAAUUAACUAGAGUAAAGGGAGUUCAAAAUACUUAUACUGAAAAUCAAAACUAAAAAAAUAAGAGUGGGUCUCGUCCAAGAAUUCAAGAUGUCACGUACUCCGAAAAUAGAUGUCACUUUAGGGCGAGUCCCAAGAUUAACAAUUCCGAAUCUGCAUCAGCUGCUGGAGACGAAUCUUCUUGCCCACUUGCUUAACGAACCCAACAAAUAAACUAUCGAUAUCACAGUCUGCAGCCCGCAAUAUCGACCUCACAUUUGUCUCGAUAAGCAAGUAGUAAUUUAUCAAAAGGGUGCACAAUUUCACAUAUCGUAGGAUCGAUCCUCCAAAUACAAGUUCGCAAGACUUUUCAGUCAACUAGUGUUGUCCAUGAAAAACUAUCGUACCAGGUCGUAAAAAGUGCCAUACACCAAACCGAACAAAACAGAAACUGUCCUCGUAAAACUUUAUCCAGCACCAAGCAUCCUAUCCUCUUCAGUUCUUCCAAAUGUGACCAGCAACUCCAAAAUUUUGUCAACGACGAACUCACUUGAUAACCGUACCUUGAUAUACCGAUGUGAUGCCUAUGAAUUCUAGUAAGAUGUUGAUACAAUAUGCUGACCUUUGUACUAAAACCUUCAACCAACUCUUACUAAAAGACCGCUUAAACCUCGUACCCACGUGCUCUCGAACUAAAGGAUCCUGGUGAGAGGUAGUGGAAAGCUACGCUGCGGUGCGUUGAGGCGAACACAUCACAUCAUCGAAAAGAUCUACCAGAGUACGAUAUGAUGGCGAUGAAGAUAAUGAUGCAAUCUGCUGAUCAACUGCACUACAAUCUUCACCAGUUUCUUACCAAAAGAUGACUUAAACUUCACACCCACGAGGAACUUUUUCUGGUAAGUCUGGUAAGCUUGUCAAAAUAUUAUGCUCCCAACAUUCCUGUCCAAAACAAUAAGAAUUGGGCGCACACUUCCGCCGAAUCGAUCGAUCGUGAAUUCCUCACUGAUUGAGCGAGAAACCAUGUCGAGAAGGCUAAAAGAACACUCAAGAAUUUGAGAGUCAAAACAAGUCCAUUAAAACUGGAGUACAAGAUAUUGCGAUUNNNNN